CACCACACAGCCAAUAUAUGUCCCCAACUGUUUUUGCAUGAUUCAUUAACAGUGCUGUGGGUGGAUUAUGAUAGGUGGAGCAAUAACCAGAUGGGAAUUUGCCCAUGAAUGUACCUGUGUUCUUAGGUAUUGAAUAGCAAGUGUAGUUACCUGGGUAUACAGUGACUCCAUCAGGUGGUCUAACGUGCCCCUGAAUGAUUGGGUAGACCUUUUUCCAUGACUCACACGUUG